AACGAACGCUGGCGGCAGGCCUAACACAUGCAAGUCGAGCGGAUGACGGGAGCUUGCUCCUCGAUUCAGCGGCGACGGGUGAGUAAUACCUAGGAAUCUGCCUGAUAGUGGGGGACAACGUUUCGAAAGGAACGCUAAUACCGCAUACGUCCUACGGGAGAAAGCAGGGGACCUUCGGGCCUUGCGCUAUCAGAUGAGCCUAGGUCGGAUUAGCUAGUUGGUGAGGUAAUGGCUCACCAAGGCGACGAUCCGUAACUGGUCUGAGAGGAUGAUCAGUCACACUGGAACUAAGACACGGUCCAGACUCCUACGGGAGGCAGCAGUGGGGAAUAUUGGACAAUGGGCGAAAGCCUGAUCCAGCCAUGCCGCGUGUGUGAAGAAGGCCUUCGGAUUGUAAAGCACUUUAAGUUGGGAGGAAGGGCAGUAAGCUAAUACCUUGCUGUUUUGACGUUACCGACAGAAUAAGCACCGGCUAACUCUGUGCCAGCCGCCGCCGUAA
rnacentral:rRNA from 1 species